rnacentral:rRNA from 2 species
UGCAAGUCGAACGGUAACAGGAAGCAGCUUGCUGCUUUGCUGACGAGUGGCGGACGGGUGAGUAAUGUCUGGGAAACUGCCUGAUGGAGGGGGAUAACUACUGGAAACGGUAGCUAAUACCGCAUAACGUCGCAAGACCAAAGAGGGGGACCUUCGGGCCUCUUGCCAUCGGAUGUGCCCAGAUGGGAUUAGCUAGUAGGUGGGGUAACGGCUCACCUAGGCGACGAUCCCUAGCUGGUCUGAGAGGAUGACCAGCCACACUGGAACUGAGACACGGUCCAGACUCCUACGGGAGGCAGCAGUGGGGAAUAUUGCACAAUGGGCGCAAGCCUGAUGCAGCCAUGCCGCGUGUAUGAAGAAGGCCUUCGGGUUGUAAAGUACUUUCAGCGGGGAGGAAGGCGAUAAGGUUAAUAACCUUGUCGAUUGACGUUACCCGCAGAAGAAGCACCGGCUAACUCCGUGCCAGCAGCCGCGGUAAUACGGAGGGUGCAAGCGUUAAUCGGAAUUACUGGGCGUAAAGCGCACGCAGGCGGUCUGUCAAGUCGGAUGUGAAAUCCCCGGGCUCAACCUGGGAACUGCAUUCGAAACUGGCAGGCUAGAGUCUUGUAGAGGGGGGUAGAAUUCCAGGUGUAGCGGUGAAAUGCGUAGAGAUCUGGAGGAAUACCGGUGGCGAAGGCGGCCCCCUGGACAAAGACUGACGCUCAGGUGCGAAAGCGUGGGGAGCAAACAGGAUUAGAUACCCUGGUAGUCCACGCCGUAAACGAUGUCGACUUGGAGGUUGUGCCCUUGAGGCGUGGCUUCCGGAGCUAACGCGUUAAGUCGACCGCCUGGGGAGUACGGCCGCAAGGUUAAAACUCAAAUGAAUUGACGGGGGCCCGCACAAGCGGUGGAGCAUGUGGUUUAAUUCGAUGCAACGCGAAGAACCUUACCUACUCUUGACAUCCAGAGAACUUACCAGAGAUGCUUUGGUGCCUUCGGGAACUCUGAGACAGGUGCUGCAUGGCUGUCGUCAGCUCGUGUUGUGAAAUGUUGGGUUAAGUCCCGCAACGAGCGCAACCCUUAUCCUUUGUUGCCAGCGGUUAGGCCGGGAACUCAAAGGAGACUGCCAGUGAUAAACUGGAGGAAG